rnacentral:rRNA from 1 species
AGCGGCGGACGGGUGAGUAACACGUGGGUAACCUGCCCAAGAGACUGGGAUAACACCUGGAAACAGAUGCUAAUACCGGAUAACAACACUAGACGCAUGUCCAGAGUUUGAAAGAUGGUUCUGCUAUCACUCUUGGAUGGACCUGCGGUGCAUUAGCUAGUUGGUAAGGUAACGGCUUACCAAGGCAAUGAUGCAUAGCCGAGUCGAGAGACUGAUCGGCCACAUUGGGACUGAGACACGGCCCAAACUCCUACGGGAGGCAGCAGUAGGGAAUCUACCACAAUGGACGAAAGUCUGAUGGAGCAACGCCGCGUGAGUGAAGAAGGGUUUCGGCUCGUAAAGCUCUGUUGGUAGUGAAGAAAGAUAGAGGUAGUAACUGGCCUUUAUUUGACGGUAAUUACUUAGAAAGUCACGGCUAACUACGUGCCAGCAGCCGCGGUAAUACGUAGGUGGCAAGCGUUGUCCGGAUUUAUUGGGCGUAAAGCGAGUGCAGGCGGUUCAAUAAGUCUGAUGUGAAAGCCUUCGGCUCAACCGGAGAAUUGCAUCAGAAACUGUUGAACUUGAGUGCAGAAGAGGAGAGUGGAACUCCAUGUGUAGCGGUGGAAUGCGUAGAUAUAUGGAAGAACACCAGUGGCGAAGGCGGCUCUCUGGUCUGCAACUGACGCUGAGGCUCGAAAGCAUGGGUAGCGAACAGGAUUAGAUACCCUGGUAGUCCAUGCCGUAAACGAUGAGUGCUAAGUGU